rnacentral:lncRNA from 1 species
AAAAGUGAAAACAUCAAUUUUGUUGCUUCUUAAGUUCUUAAGUUUACCUACUUAUGUAAAUAUUCACUAGUGAAUAUUGUGUAGUUGAAAGAAUUUUACUUACUAUGAAUAUAUUCUAGAGAUAGUACUAGAGCCGAUUUACGCAAUCGAAUACCGCCGGAAGUAGAACAUUUAUGUCAACACCGGUUUCGUAUUUUCACGUGAAAACGGCCGAAAACUGAGAGGUUAUCAACAAAUUAUAAGUUUACGGGUACCAUGAGGAUUUUUCAUGCAUUUAAACGACAGAAGUACAAGUGAACAGAUGACAUAUUAAAGUGGCUGCAGAAGCUUGAAAAGUUAGAUAGAGCAGGGGCAGUCAAAACAGUGGGAUAAUACUUCUAUGGUGCCCAACAUGUCUAGUCAGGUUGACAGAAGUGAAAGAUGGUCUGAUGGUACAAUGAUGUACAAAUGAUACUCUUUAACAAGUUUAAGAUGUCAAGGUGUAAAAUGUCCUGUGGAUUCAUAUGAUGAGAAUGCCAGUGUUGAUAUGUAUGACUUAAUUAAACACAGAUAUUGAUACCCUCAGAUAAUGAUAUAAAUUGAUCCAAAGAAAUAAUGGGACAAUGAAUGCUACAAUUGCCAAGAAGAAGACUGCCAUAUUUACACACCAUUUUAUACAGUUACAGUUUGAUAUGGUGAACAAAAAGCCCUCAGUGCAGCCUUAUGGAGCUUUGGCUAGACCAUGAACAGUAGACUUCAAAAAGAUGAUCAUCCGAAGGGCCACAAGUGUUUGAAGAAUUGGUCAACAAAAACUGAACUAUCUGAUGGAUCAUACAUAUACAGAACAUACUAUCAUAUUUCCAGAAUCAGAGAAAUAGAAAUAUCAAGUAUUAAGGAGGAAGAAAAGUAUGCAUCAUGUAUGAAGAACUGCCUAAGAUUAAUUUGCAAAAUAAUUGAAAUCUCACAAUUGCAAAUUGCAUAAUGCAUAUGGAAGUUAAGGAAGGUGUACUCUUCUGGAAAUAUGUUUUCAGUGCAACAUUUUUUUUAGCUCAUCUGAUUUUUUGAAAAAAAAUGAUGAGUUAUUGUCAUCACUUGAGCGGUUGUCGGCGU